CGGGGUGCUGGGCACAGGCCCGGGGUGCUGGGCACAGGCCCCGAGUGCUGGGGACAGGCCUGGGGUGCUGGGCACAGGCCCGGGGUGCUGGGGACAUGCCCGGGGUGCUGGGCACAGGCCCGGGGUGCUGGGCACAGGCCUGGGGUGCUGGACAUAGGCCUGGGGUGCUGGGCACAGGCCUGGGGUGCCAGGAGGGAAGGCAGCCCACACCAUAAGCCUGCACUGGCCCAGGGCCAGGUGCGGGUUUUACCCAUGCCCUGUCACAGCAGACCUCGUGACCGCGGGCAGGCCGAUAGUUGCCGUGGCCCGGCCGCCCGCCUCCCUCGGGUGGUGCAGUGGGAAUCUGGGGCCUGGAGGGAAGCGGAUAGAUUAUCUCUCCCGGCAGAUUUUCCUUUUCCAGAGGCCUGAGGGGAGAGCCGGCCCUGCUCCAGCCCCACUGUGUGGUUUCUAACCGUCCCUCCCGUGGAGGAGCCGGGGAGGACUCCUGGUGGAGUGGGGGCUCGACCUGAACGUGCUCUUCCUGGGGUGCCCGGCCCGCGGGGCUUUGCCACAGGAAACCCCACGUGAGGCUGAAACACCCUGCAGGAGAGGACGAGACCCCACCUGAAGCUCCCGCCCGGCCUGCCCCGGUGUCCCCGAUGGUGUCGUGGCGUGGCGGAGCCCGCAGGAGAUGUGACAUUGCUGCCCGAUGUCCACCAACCCCCCAGCGUUC